rnacentral:tRNA from 1 species
UUAAUUGAAACCAAAAUAGAGGUAUAUCACUGUUAAUGAUAAUAAUGGAAAAAUCCCAAUUAAA